CUGAAGCGCUGAUCAAAGGAAAGGGCCUGACUGAAAAGUAACCAGCCAGCCUGUGGUGUUGGUCUGGAAGUCCUUCCUGGAGAGACUAUGGGGGGGAAAUGGAUUUGAAAGAAGGAAGCUGAAGGAGGAUGCAUACAGGAGCUGAGGUGACAUUCCAGUUGGUGGAAUUUGUUAUGGCUUCAUCUGCUACAUUAAAGAGCCUUCUGCUAUCAGACAUCUUCUCCCUAUUAUAGGAAAUUCCAUUAUUUUGAUUUUUUUCCCCAUUCCAC